rnacentral:misc_RNA from 1 species
CUUUAGCCCCGAUAGGAGUGGAAAUCCUUUUUGGGCUGGUGUUCAGCGCAAAAAGAUUACUUCGUCAGUUCGCUAUCGCUCGGGUGCAGCGGAUAGCGGGACGAUAU